rnacentral:tRNA from 1 species
CGGGGAGUAGCGCAGUCUGGUAGCGCAUCUGGUUUGGGACCAGAGGGUCGUAGGUUCGAAUCCUAUCGCCCCGACCA